GAUGAACGCUGGCGGCGUGCCUAAUACAUGCAAGUCGAGCGAACGGACGAGAAGCUUGCUUCUCUGAUGUUAGCGGCGGACGGGUGAGUAACACGUGGAUAACCUACCUAUAAGACUGGGAUAACUUCGGGAAACCGGAGCUAAUACCGGAUAAUAUUUUGAACCGCAUGGUUCAAAAGUGAAAGACGGUCUUGCUGUCACUUAUAGAUGGAUCCGCGCUGCAUUAGCUAGUUGGUAAGGUAACGGCUUACCAAGGCAACGAUGCAUAGCCGACCUGAGAGGGUGAUGGCCCACACGGGAAUGGGAACACGGUCCAAACCCCUAGGGGGGGCGGCGGGGGGAAAUUUUCCGAAAGGGGGGAAGGCCUAGCGGGCAAACGCCGGGGGGGGAAUAAGGGUCUUCGGAUGGAAAAACUCUUUUAUGGGGAAAAAAAAUAUGUGGAAAAAACUGUGCCCCUCUGAACGUAACCAAAAAAGAAAGCCAGGCCAAACUCGGG
rnacentral:rRNA from 1 species